UGGGGAAUAUUGGACAAUGGGCGAAAGCCUGAUCCAGCAAUGCCGCGUGAGUGAUGAAGGCCUUAGGGUUGUAAAGCUCUUUUUACCAGGGAUGAUAAUGACAGUACCUGGAGAAUAAGCUCCGGCUAACUCCGUGCCAGCAGCCGCGGUAAUACGGAGGGAGCUAGCGUUGUUCGGAAUUACUGGGCGUAAAGCGUACGUAGGCGGUGACUCAAGUCAGGGGUGAAAGCCUGGAGCUCAACUCCAGAACUGCCUUUGAAACUAGGUCGCUAGAAUCACGGAGAGGUGAGUGGAAUUCCGAGUGUAGAGGUGAAAUUCGUAGAUAUUCGGAAGAACACCAGUGGCGAAGGCGGCUCACUGGACGUGUAUUGACGCUGAGGUACGAAAGCGUGGGGAGCAAACAGGAUUAGAUACCCUCGUAGUCCCUGAGCGGGCUGGCAAGGCGCAU
rnacentral:rRNA from 1 species